rnacentral:rRNA from 1 species
UACAGGAGGGGGCAAGCGUUGUUCGGAAUUACUGGGCGUAAAGGGCGCGUAGGCGGCCUGCUAAGUCAUAACGUGAAAUCCCUCGGGCUCAACCGGGGAACUGCGUGUGAGUACUGGCGGGCUUGGAAUUCGGGAGAGGGAAUGCGGAAUUCCAGGUGUAGGCGGUAGAAAUGCGUAGAUAUCUGGAGGAACACCGGUGGCGAAGGCGGCAUCCUGGACCGAGAUUGACGCUGAGGCGCGAAAGCCAGGGGAGCAAACGGG